rnacentral:tRNA from 1 species
GGGAAUGUAGCUCAGUGGUAGAAUAAUUGCUUAGCAUGCAGAAAGCCUGGGUUCUAUCCCCAGCAUUGCCU